rnacentral:rRNA from 1 species
GGGCGUAAAGAGCUCGUAGGUCGUUUGCCGCGUCGAUUGUGAAAAUCUGAGGCUCAACCUCAGACCUGCAGUCGAUACGGGCAAACUAGAGUGUGGUAGGGGAGACUGGAAUUCCUGGUGUAGCGGUGGAAUGCGCAGAUAUCAGGAGGAACACCAAUGGCGAAGGCAGGUCUCUGGGCCAUAACUGACACUGAGGAGCGAAAGUGCGGGGAGCGAACAGGAUUAGAUACCCUGGUAGUCCGCACCGUAAACGGUGGGCACUAGUUGUGGGAACCUUCCACGGUUUCCGCGACGCAGCAAACGCAUUAAGUGCCCCGCCUGGGGAGUACGAUCGCAAGGUUAAAACUCAAAGGAAUUGACGGGGCCCCGCACAAGCAGCGGAGCAUGCGGCUUAAUUCGACGCAACGCGAAGAACCUUACCAAGGCUUGACAUAUAGCGAAAAGUGGCAGAGAUGUCAUGUCCGCAAGGGCGCUAUACAGGUGGUGCAUGGUUGUCGUCAGCUCGUGUCGUGAGAUGUUGGGUUAAGUCCCGCAACGAGCGCAACCCUCGUUCUGUGUUACCAGCAUUCAGUUGGGGACUCACAGGAGACUGCCGGGGUCAACUCGGAGGAAGGUAAU